rnacentral:lncRNA from 1 species
GUUCAAUCAGCAAGAUGGAAUAAGGGGGCCAUCGCACCCUUAAAAGAUUUAAAAAAAUUACUAAUUAUACAAUAAAUUUUAAUAUAAUUCAAAAAUUAUACAGGUUAACUAACUCCCAAUUUUUUUUAAAGAUAAUUUUAAAAUUACAGAAGUUAGCCUCCCAUGAUAAGAAUCUUGAAUUCGUCCCUGUCAAUAAGAAUGGUAAAAUCCAAAUCAUCAAAACAAAACAAUCUGUAUAAACUAUGUAAUAGUACUAGUAUAGAAAAUCAAAUAGAAUAAAGAUAGAAAAAAAGCAUCUAAUCUAAGGUCAAUUAAUUAGAGAAACAACAAAUCGUUGUCUUAAAGUCGUAUUCGUCUCUUUAUUAUCGAUCAAAUAUGACUUUAAAAUAUAACUCAUAAAUCUUACAAAGUUUUAUUCACUUCACUCCAUAUCGUAAAGAAAGGGUGCCAAGUAUUUUUCAAAAUUUUCUAAACAUAAGGAUACCGUGACUAGCGUAAUGAAAGUUGUAUUGUUUAGCAACUUUUCUUAAUCCACACCUCUUGUUUUAACACCCUUUAAACGUAGAGGUGUCAAACGUGUCUGCCGUGCCGUGCCACUUUUCUUUCGUGCCAACCUUGCUUCGUGCCGUCUUGCCCGGACCCAUUUACUUAACGGCUUUUGCCGUGCCGGACCUUUAAUCGUGUCUGUCCAUUUUUAAAUCGUGGCCGUGUCGUGCUAUUUUUUUUAUUCGUGCCGUGCCGUUCCGUUCCAUUUAAUCUGUCCGUGCCGUGCCGGCCCAUUUACUUAAUGCAUGCUAUGUCGUGCCUGGCUCGCUUACUUAAUUCGUGCCCAUGUCGUGUGCCGUCCGCUAACGUAGUCGUGUGACCUCGUGUCCAUCCCGUGCCGGCCGUCCUGCUUAAAUCGUGUCGUGUCGUGCCCGUCUACGUAAUCAUGUCAUUUCGUGCCCGUCCAAAUUAUAAUAUGAAGUGUUUGUAUCCCUCUAUGCAAAAAAUAAAAUAAUUUAAUUAUCGUUACGUACUUGCUUCAAAUGAGAUAAAUUAUUGGUUGAUAAUGAAUAAUAAAUCAUGUCCCAGAAAGGGUUUUUAAUAUUCGAUAGAUUUCAAAUUCGGGCAAAAAGUUGAUUAAAUGUGGGCAAUACAACAAGUGAACGGUGUUAUUGUCAUAAUUAAUGUGGGCGUUUGUAUUAGUUAGCGCCUACAAACAAAUUCGGCGAGAGUGAUGAAAAAUUUUAUUUUUAAAAUAAAAUAAAUUUUAUGUUUUUUUGUCUUAUUAUGGUCUAUAGGGCAUAAAGUCAAAAUUUUACAAUUAUAGUUUUUUGUUUAUUAAAAUUUAAUUUUUUUUAUUUUAUUUUAAUUUUAAUUUUUUUUAUUCUAAUGUUUAUUUUAAAUUUUUCUAAUUUUUUUUUCUUAUCUAUUGCGGGCAUUUUGCAAGUCAAUUGAUUUAAUAAAAUAUAUUUUUUUAUUAUUUCUUUAUUUCUGGCCAUAGCCCCAUGAACAGCAAAAUUUAUUUUUUUAUUUUUUUAAAUAUUUAUUUUUUUUUAAUAAUUUUUGUUAUUAUGGCAAGUUUAAUUUAUUUAAUUAAAAUUUUUUUAAUUUAUUUAAUAUUAAUUAUUCUGUUUGGCUCCUCUUCUCCUGUGUCGUGUUAAGGUGAGGCCAAUUACCGUGGCCAUACCAUGUCGUGCCCUUGACACCUCCAUGUCAUGCUCGUGCCGUGCUUUGGCUAAGUCUGGGUCGGUCGUGCCGUGCCAUCCGUGCCAAACCAAACCAACCUAUCGUGUCGUGCCCGUGCCGUGCCGGGCUUUUGACCGGUGCCGGUCGGGCCGGGCCUGGUGUGGCCAACUAUCGUGCCAUGCCCGUGCCGUGCUAGUUUCCAUUUUCGGUCUCGUGCCCGUUGCCGUGUCUGCUCAGACCGUGCCGUGCCCAACUUAACUCGUGCGCCCAAACGUGCUCGUGCCGGGUUUUUUUCGUGCCGGUGCCCCGUGCCAUUCCGGCCGGCAAGGCCCGCUUUCACCAGGGCGAUCUAUUUUAAACGGAAGAAAGAAACAUAACCUUCUAUUAAGAUUUUAAAAUUCGGAACUUAAUUUACCACCAUACUAAACCAACCACUAAUUGCCCCACACUAAACUUUGUGAGUUGCACCAAAACCAAUGGGUACUCAUUAAUUGGUUUUGUUGUAGCCACGGAUGGUAUCAGAGCUCUGAUUUCUGGAGUCGGACCCCCCCCCCCCCCCCCCCCCCCCCCCCCCCCCCCCCCCCCCCCACCCCCCCCCCCCCCCCCCCCCCCCCCCCCCCCCCCCCCCCCCCCCCCCCCCCCCCCCCCCCACCCCCCCCCCCCCCCCCCCCACCUUGGGUGUGGGGGGUGGGGGGGUGGGGGGGUGGGGGUUUGGGGGGGGGGUGUUGGGGGGGGGGUUUGGGGGGGGGGGGGUGUGGGGGGGGGGGGGGGGGGUGGUGUUUGGGGGGAAAGUCCCUCAGAGGUCAUCGAUUUUUGCCUCCGACGGCCU